rnacentral:rRNA from 1 species
CAAAGGUUUUCGUAGGUG